rnacentral:rRNA from 1 species
UUGACCUCAGAUCAGGUAGGAAGACCGCCUGAACUUAAGCAUAUCAAUAAGGCGAGGAACAGAAACCAACCGGGAUUCCCCCAGUAGUGGCGAAUGAAGCGGGAAAAGCUCAAGUUUGAAAUCUGACGUGAGUCAGAGUUGUAAGCUGAAGAGGCUUCGACCGAUGUGGCUCGGGCUCAAUUCCCUUGGGAUAGGGAGUCGUGGAGGGUGAGAACCCCGUUCUUGGCCCUGUGGCCUUCAUCCUUGUGUCGUUUCCUCGAAGAGUCGGGUUGUUUGGGAAUGCAGCUCAAAAUGGGUGGUAAAUUUCAUCUAAAGCUAAAUAUUGGCGAGAGACCGAUAGCAAACAAGUAGAGUAAUCGAAAGAUGAAAAGUACUUUGAAAAGAGAGUGAAACAGUGCGUGAAAUUGUUGAAAGGGAACCGUUUGGUAUCAGCCAUGGCCGUCCCCGAUCACCCGGGCUUCUGCCCGGUGCACUCGGGGACGGUCGGGCCAGCGUCGACUUUGUCCGCCGGAGAAAGGUCGGGGGAACGUGACUCCUCACGGAGUGUUAUAGCCCCCGGCGUCAUGCGGCGUGGCGGGGUCGAGGUCCGCG